rnacentral:rRNA from 1 species
UACGUAGGGACCAAGCGUUGUUCGGAUUUACUGGGCGUAAAGGGCGCGUAGGCGGCAAUUCAAGUCAGCUGUGAAAUCUCUGGGCUUAACCCAGAACGGCCAGCUGAUACUGCUUUGCUAGAGUGCAGAAGGGGCAAUCGGAAUUCUUGGUGUAGCGGUGAAAUGCGUAGAUAUCAAGAGGAACACCUGAGGUGAAGACGGGUUGCUGGGCUGACACUGACGCUGAGGCGCGAAAGCCAGGGGAGCAAACGGGG